rnacentral:rRNA from 1 species
CACGAAGUUAGCCGGUGCUUAUUCUUUGGGUACCGUCAUCCCUGCCGGGUAUUAGCCAACAGGAUUUCUUUCCCAACAAAAGAGCUUUACAACCCGAGGGCCUUCUUCACUCACGCGGUAUGGCUGGAUCAGGCUUGCGCCCAUUGUCCAAUAUUCCCCACUGCUGCCUCCCGUAGGAGUCUGGACCGUGUCUCAGUUCCAGUGUGGCUGAUCAUCCUCUCAGACCAGCUACGGAUCGUCGCCUUGGUGGGCCUUUACCCGCCAACUAGCUAAUCCGACAUCGGCUCAUUCUAUCGCGUGAGGCCUUGCGGUCCCCCACUUUCACCCGUAGGUCGUAUGCGGUAUUAGCGUAAGUUUCCCUACGUUAUCCCCCACGACAGAGUAGAUUCCGAUGUAUUCCUCACCCGUCCGCCACUCGCCACCCAGAGAGCAAGCUCUCCUGUGCUGCCGUUCGACUUGCAUGUGUUAGGCCUACCGCCAGCGUUCACUCUGAGCCAGGAUCAAA